rnacentral:rRNA from 1 species
AGUGGAAACUGAAAGGCUUGAGUAUGGUAGGGGCAGAGGGAAUUCCCGGUGUAGCGGUGAAAUGCGUAGAUAUCGGGAAGAACACCAGUGGCGAAGGCGCUCUGCUGGGCCAUUACUGACGCUCAUGGACGAAAGCCAGGGGAGCGAAAGGGAUUAGAUACCCCUGUAGUCCUGGCCGUAAACGAUGAACACUAGGUGUCGGGGGAAUCGACCCCUUCGGUGUCGUAGCUAACGCGUUAAGUGUUCCGCCUGGGGAGUACGCACGCAAGUGUGAAACUCAAAGGAAUUGACGGGGGCCCGCACAAGCGGUGGAGUAUGUGGUUUAAUUCGAUGCAACGCGAAGAACCUUACCAGGGUUUGACAUCCUGCGAACCUCUUAGAAAUUUGAGGGUGCCUUCGGGAAUGCAGUGACAGGUGGUGCAUGGCUGUCGUCAGCUCGUGUCGUGAGAUGUUGGGUUAAGUCCCGCAACGAGCGCAACCCACGUUUUUAGUUGCCAGCAUUUAGUUGGGCACUCUAGAAAGACCGCCGGUGAUAAACCGGAGGAAGGUGUGGAUGACGUCAAGUCAUCAUGCCCCUUACACCCUGGGCUACACACGUACUACAAUGCUACGGACAAAGGGCAGCAAACUCGCGAGAGCUAGCAAAUCCCAUAAACCGUGGCUCAGUUCAGAUCGUAGGCUGCAACUCGCCUACGUGAAGUAGGAAUCGCUAGUAAUCGCAGGUCAGCAUACUGCGGUGAAUACGUUCCCGGGCCUUGUACACACCGCCCGUCACACCAUGGAAGUUGGCCAUGCCCGAAGUCGUUACUCCAACCCUUGUGGAGGAGGACGCCGAAGGUGGGGCUAAUGACUGGGGUGAAGUCGUAACAAGGUAACCGUA